rnacentral:piRNA from 2 species
ACCAGGGAAGUGCCUGCGAGCUGGUCUGC